rnacentral:rRNA from 1 species
UACGUAUGGUCCUAGCGUUGUCCGGAAUAACUGGGCGUAAAGGGUGUGUAGGCGGAUAUCCGUGUCAGGUGUGAAAUCCCCCGGCUUAACUGGGGCAUUGCGCUUGAAACUGGAUAUCUGGAGCAUGUCAGGGGUAAGCGGAAUUCCCGGAGUAGCGGUGAAAUGCGUAGAUAUCGGGAAGAACACCGGUGGCGAAGGCGGCUUACUGGGGCAUGGCUGACGCUGAGGCACGAAAGAGUGGGGGGCGAACGGGAUUAGAUACCCCGGUAGUCCACGCUGUAAACGAUGGAUACUAGAUGUCAGUUGCAUUAAAGCAGUUGGUAUCGAAGUUAACACGAUAAGUAUCCCGCCUGGGGAGUACGGUCGCAAGAUUAAA